GACGAACCGUACGAACGUUAUUCGGAAUCACUGGGCUUAAAGGGUGCGUAGGCGGGCGCGACAAGUUGGGUGUGAAAUCCCUCGGCUCAACCGAGGAACUGCGCCCAAAACUGUCGUGCUCGAGGGAGACAGAGGUGAGCGGAACUUAGGGUGGAGCGGUGAAAUGCGUUGAUAUCCUAAGGAACACCGGUGGCGAAAGCGGCUCACUGGGUCUCUUCUGACGCUGAGGCACGAAAGCUAGGGUAGCAAACAGG
rnacentral:rRNA from 1 species